AGUCAGAGGCGAUGAAGGACGUGCUAAUCUGCGAUAAGCGUCGGUAAGGUGAUAUGAACCGUUAUAACCGGCGAUUUCCGAAUGGGGAAACCCAGUGUGUUUCGACACACUAUCAUUAACUGAAUCCAUAGGUUAAUGAGGCGAACCGGGGGAACUGAAACAUCUAAGUACCCCGAGGAAAAGAAAUCAACCGAGAUUCCCCCAGUAGCGGCGAGCGAACGGGGAGCAGCCCAGAGCCUGAAUCAGUGUGUGUGUUAGUGGAAGCGUCUGGAAAGGCGCGCGAUACAGGGUGACAGCCCCGUACACAAAAAUGCACAUGCUGUGAGCUCGAUGAGUAGGGCGGGACACGUGGUAUCCUGUCUGAAUAUGGGGGGACCAUCCUCCAAGGCUAAAUACUCCUGACUGACCGAUAGUGAACCAGUACCGUGAGGGAAAGGCGAAAAGAACCCCGGCGAGGGGAGUGAAAAAGAACCUGAAACCGUGUACGUACAAGCAGUGGGAGCACGCUUAGGCGUGUGACUGCGUACCUUUUGUAUAAUGGGUCAGCGACUUAUAUUCUGUAGCAAGGUUAACCGAAUAGGGGAGCCGAAGGGAAACCGAGUCUUAACUGGGCGUUAAGUUGCAGGGUAUAGACCCGAAACCCGGUGAUCUAGCCAUGGGCAGGUUGAAGGUUGGGUAACACUAACUGGAGGACCGAACCGACUAAUGUUGAAAAAUUAGCGGAUGACUUGUGGCUGGGGGUGAAAGGCCAAUCAAACCGGGAGAUAGCUGGUUCUCCCCGAAAGCUAUUUAGGUAGCGCCUCGUGAAUUCAUCUCCGGGGGUAGAGCACUGUUUCGGCAAGGGGGUCAUCCCGACUUACCAACCCGAUGCAAACUGCGAAUACCGGAGAAUGUUAUCACGGGAGACACACGGCGGGUGCUAACGUCCGUCGUGAAGAGGGAAACAACCCAGACCGCCAGCUAAGGUCCCAAAGUCAUGGUUAAGUGGGAAACGAUGUGGGAAGGCCCAGACAGCCAGGAUGUUGGCUUAGAAGCAGCCAUCAUUUAAAGAAAGCGUAAUAGCUCACUGGUCGAGUCGGCCUGCGCGGAAGAUGUAACGGGGCUAAACCAUGCACCGAAGCUGCGGCAGCGACGCUGAUGCGUUGUUGGGUAGGGGAGCGUUCUGUAAGCCUGCGAAGGUGUGCUGUGAGGCAUGCUGGAGGUAUCAGAAGUGCGAAUGCUGACAUAAGUAACGAUAAAGCGGGUGAAAAGCCCGCUCGCCGGAAGACCAAGGGUUCCUGUCCAACGUUAAUCGGGGCAGGGUGAGUCGACCCCUAAGGCGAGGCCGAAAGGCGUAGUCGAUGGGAAACAGGUUAAUAUUCCUGUACUUGGUGUUACUGCGAAGGGGGGACGGAGAAGGCUAUGUUGGCCGGGCGACGGUUGUCCCGGUUUAAGCGUGUAGGCUGGUUUUCCAGGCAAAUCCGGAAAAUCAAGGCUGAGGCGUGAUGACGAGGCACUACGGUGCUGAAGCAACAAAUGCCCUGCUUCCAGGAAAAGCCUCUAAGCAUCAGGUAACAUCAAAUCGUACCCCAAACCGACACAGGUGGUCAGGUAGAGAAUACCAAGGCGCUUGAGAGAACUCGGGUGAAGGAACUAGGCAAAAUGGUGCCGUAACUUCGGGAGAAGGCACGCUGAUAUGUAGGUGAAGUCCCUCGCGGAUGGAGCUGAAAUCAGUCGAAGAUACCAGCUGGCUGCAACUGUUUAUUAAAAACACAGCACUGUGCAAACACGAAAGUGGACGUAUACGGUGUGACGCCUGCCCGGUGCCGGAAGGUUAAUUGAUGGGGUUAGCGCAAGCGAAGCUCUUGAUCGAAGCCCCGGUAAACGGCGGCCGUAACUAUAACGGUCCUAAGGUAGCGAAAUUCCUUGUCGGGUAAGUUCCGACCUGCACGAAUGGCGUAAUGAUGGCCAGGCUGUCUCCACCCGAGACUCAGUGAAAUUGAACUCGCUGUGAAGAUGCAGUGUACCCGCGGCAAGACGGAAAGACCCCGUGAACCUUUACUAUAGCUUGACACUGAACAUUGAGCCUUGAUGUGUAGGAUAGGUGGGAGGCUUAGAAGUGUGGACGCCAGUCUGCAUGGAGCCGACCUUGAAAUACCACCCUUUAAUGUUUGAUGUUCUAACGUUGACCCGUAAUCCGGGUUGCGGACAGUGUCUGGUGGGUAGUUUGACUGGGGCGGUCUCCUCCUAAAGAGUAACGGAGGAGCACGAAGGUUGGCUAAUCCUGGUCGGACAUCAGGAGGUUAGUGCAAUGGCAUAAGCCAGCUUGACUGCGAGCGUGACGGCGCGAGCAGGUGCGAAAGCAGGUCAUAGUGAUCCGGUGGUUCUGAAUGGAAGGGCCAUCGCUCAACGGAUAAAAGGUACUCCGGGGAUAACAGGCUGAUACCGCCCAAGAGUUCAUAUCGACGGCGGUGUUUGGCACCUCGAUGUCGGCUCAUCACAUCCUGGGGCUGAAGUAGGUCCCAAGGGUAUGGCUGUUCGCCAUUUAAAGUGGUACGCGAGCUGGGUUUAGAACGUCGUGAGACAGUUCGGUCCCUAUCUGCCGUGGGCGCUGGAGAACUGAGGGGGGCUGCUCCUAGUACGAGAGGACCGGAGUGGACGCAUCACUGGUGUUCGGGUUGUCAUGCCAAUGGCACUGCCCGGUAGCUAAAUGCGGAAGAGAUAAGUGCUGAAAGCAUCUAAGCACGAAACUUGCCCCGAGAUGAGUUCUCCCUGACCCUUUAAGGGUCCUGAAGGAACGUUGAAGACGACGACGUUGAUAGGCCGGGUGUGUAAGCGCAGCGAUGCGUUGAGCUAACCGGUACUAAUGAACCGUGAGGCUUAACCU
rnacentral:rRNA from 1 species